CGAUACAGAAUGGAAAAUUUUCUGAUGACUUCUUUGGCAAGCCAAAAGUGCUAACAUUGGCAUGCUUUCAUGACGAAAAUGCCGUCUUUCCUCCCAUGUUCCUCCUACAAAGAUUUCAUAACCUACAAAGCCUUGAGGUUUUCUGCAGUUCUUUUGAAGAUAUAUUCCUUGAUGAAGGGCUUGUUGACGAGGGCAAACAUCUGGUGCUUGAAAAUUUGGAACAACUUAAGUUAAAAAAGCUACACAACCUAAAGCAUGUCUGGAGAGAAGGCUAUUUGGUGGCGAAAAUUCUUCAAAGUAUUGGCACAUUUGAGAUUUGGGAUUGUCCCAAUUUGACAACCUUAUUUCCAGCUGUGACAUCCUUCAGGAAUUUAACGAAGUUAGUGGUGAAGAAUUCUUCUGGAUUGGUACAUCUAGUGACGGUUUCAGCAAUCACAAAUUUGGUGCAUCUCACUGACAUGACUAUAAUUGGAUGUGAAAGAAUGAAAGAAGUAGUGGCAAACGAUGAAAACAAAGAAAGAAAAGUGAUUUCUCUUACAAAGCUAUUAAGGUUGACACUCCAACAUUUGUCAAGCCUAGAAUGCUUCUCCUCCACCACAUAUUGCAUCUUUAGGUUUCCGAACAUGUAUUCAAUAGAAGUGGAAGAGUGCCCAAAAAUGAAGAUCUUUUGUAAAGGUAUGAUAAGCACACCAAAACUACAGCGGGCAACACUAUUUAGAUGCUAUUGGGAUCAGAACUGGAAGGGUGAUCUCAACACAACCAUACAAAAGUUGACCGCAUAAACAAGUGCACAUAAAUUUGUCAGUGAUAAAGGGGAGAGCAGAUUAUACAAGUGGUACGGAGAUCUGGAAGUUACUAAGGCACAGUCAAAAGUCAAGAUGAUGAAAGUUUCUAUUGAGUUUAGGUUCGGACAUUACAACUUACUACACGAAUUGUGCUCAAGGGAAGACUUGUCGUUGGAGAGAAGAUGAACAGCGGCUGGCAAUCUGCACCUGGCGACACUUCAUCUCUUCAAGAUCAUACUCUCUCUAAAGGAAGGAGAUGUCUGUGUGUUCGAGCUUGUCAGGAUUGAUAAUAUUUAACUCAAAGUCUCCAUUUUCAGAAGGAACGUCAAGACUUAGAGGUGAACUUUGGUGUGGCAAUGGAAAAAUCUCUGCUUCGCUAUUAAUUGUUUCGUUAAUGAGAUCAAAGAAAGCAAAACUUUCUGCUGCGAUCAAUUGAAUGGUGAUGUAGUUCCUGAUGUUUCUUGGAGAGUAGUGAGCAUUAAAA